rnacentral:rRNA from 1 species
GGGAGGCCUUGCGCCCCCGGGCCCGCGCCCGCCGAAGACCCCAACAUGAACGCUGUUCUGAAAGUAUGCAGUCUGAGUUGAUUAUCGUAAUCAGUUAAAACUUUCAACAACGGAUCUCUUGGUUCCGGCAUCGAUGAAGAACGCAGCGAAAUGCGAUAAGUAAUGUGAAUUGCAGAAUUCAGUGAAUCAUCGAGUCUUUGAACGCACAUUGCGCCCCCUGGUAUUCCGGGGGGCAUGCCUGUCCGAGCGUCAUUGCUGCCCUCAAGCACGGCUUGUGUGUUGGGCCCCCGCUCCCCCUCUCCCGGGGGACGGGCCCGAAAGGCAGCGGCGGCACCGCGUCCGGUCCUCGAGCGUAUGGGGCUUUGUCACCUGCUCUGUAGGCCCGGCCGGCGCCAGCCGACACCCAACUUUAUUUUUCUAAGGUUGACCUCGCGAUCAGGUAGGGAUACCCGCUGAACUUAAGCAUAUCAAUAAGCGGAGG